rnacentral:rRNA from 1 species
GUGAGGAAUAUUGGUCAAUGGACGCGAGUCUGAACCAGCCAAGUAGCGUGAAGGAUGACUGCCCUAUGGGUUGUAAACUUCUUUUAUAAGGGAAUAAAGUGAGGGACGUGUCCCUUUUUGUAUGUACCUUAUGAAUAAGGAUCGGCUAACUCCGUGCCAGCAGCCGCGGUAAUACGGAGGAUCCGAGCGUUAUCCGGAUUUAUUGGGUUUAAAGGGAGCGUAGGUUGACGUAUAAGUCAGCUGUGAAAGUUUACGGCUCAACCGUGAAAUUGCAGUUGAUACUGUAUGUCUUGAGUGUACAAGAGGUGGGCGGAAUUCGUGGUGUAGCGGUGAAAUGCUUAGAUAUCACGAAGAACUCCAAUUGCGAAGGCAGCUCACUGGGGUACAACUGACACUGAGGCUCGAAAGUGUGGGUAUCAAACAGGAUUAGAUACCCGGGUAGUCC